UACGGAGGAUGCGAGCGUUAUCCGGAUUUAUUGGGUUUAAAGGGUGCGCAGGCGGCACGGCAAGCCGGCGGUCAAAUCGCGGGGCUCAACCCCGCCCAGCCGUCGGAACUGCCGGGCCAGAGUGGGCGAGAAGUGCGCGGAAUGCGUGGUGUAGCGGUGAAAUGCAUAGAUAUCACGCAGAACUCCGAUUGCGAAGGCAGCGCACCGGCGCCCUACUGACGCUCAGGCACGAAAGCGUGGGUAUCGAACAGG
rnacentral:rRNA from 1 species